CGGAUGAUGUGAAUCAUAGUGGACAGCGUGAUGCAGAGAUAGCAAGCAGUGAAUGAAGAUGGCUUCACGGAGGCUAUUGGCGAAGGCAAAGUUUUUGGUAGAGAGAAUACUAGCUCAGGAGGCCUUCCAUUGGAAGGAAGCUAGUUGGAGAAAUGGAAGAAACUCAAUGGAGGACUUUUGGUAGAGAUUUCAAGUUGUUGGAAUUAUCAUCAGCAGAAGAGAAAACUCAUAGUAUUUCCAAAAGUGUAUUACAAUGAGUGCAACCAUGGAUUUAUAGAUGUAUCCAUGAUUCUGCAACGUGAUCUAAAUGCCCAUGAUAAGUGGAUCUGAUGCCACGUGUACAACGCAAAGAAAAUGUGAAUAAAUUAUAGAAGAGGCACGACUGCCAUGUGUUGAAAGGCUGAAAGGUGUGGACAACAAAGAUAUGGGGUGCAGCUAGCAGCUUGGGGCUUCACUUGGACAGUUUUACCCCUUGUCUUGGGUCUCUAGAUUCCAUUCAAAAUGAAGGAGAAGGAUUUGUCCUUCUUCUUGGGUUGGUUUGAUGGACUAUUUAUUGGGCUUGGGCCCCGCGUAUCAUCCGCUCCCUCUUGGAAAGGAUUUGUCCUCAAAUCUGGUGGGUCGUCUUUAUGAGGACUUAUUUGUGUUGACUUCACAAGAAUUCC
rnacentral:lncRNA from 1 species